CCCAAGAGUUUUGAUUAUUUUUGCCUGCACACCAGCAUGGCUACAACCUGCAUCCUGGAAUAGAUGAAGGAUUUCAGUGUGAACUACAGCCAGUUGACCCAGGCUAGCUACACCCCAGGCAUUUCUUUCCCCACUACUGUCAUUCAGCUACCUCAGAGGGGGGAUGUGGCUGCUACUCAGAACUGCACAGCAGCCCACAAGGAAGAUCACACUUAGGGGAAACUGUGUUCCCAUCCGUGUGGCCAGCCCCACAACCGUUUUCACAGCACAACUGUUUAGGGCUGAAAGUGAGAGAGAAAAGAUAAAAGCCCUUGGAUGUCAAACUGAAAAUGCAAAGAAAAAUGAAGGAGGCAGACGCUGGGGUCAAGACCUAGCCAGGUCACGUACGAGCAUGAAAACUGACGCUCACGUGUGCUGUGUCACGUGGCCACGGAGGAACUCAUGCGCAGUGCAGCAGGUAUUGGAACAAAACAGUUACCUGCAGUGAGGCACACUUCCUCUCCUCACUUCCAUCCCCAGCCCGACUGCGAGAGCUGGUGGGCAGAGCUGGGCCCAGGGAGGACAGCAAAUCCAACCCACGCAAGGAAGCUAGGGCCCCUUUCCCUUGCACCCACCUGCAGCAGAGCCUGCUCCACUCAUACUUUGCUUUCUUUCUCUUUGCAGAGGCACAGCAACAAAGCACCACGCUUUACGCUCAAGUCGGCUUUCAUCCUUCGGCUCCCAAGAAGCCAGAAAGGUCACAAGGGAAUGACGCUGUGAACAAUGAGAACCCCAUGACCAUCUAUGCCACUGUCCAACCCCAGAACCAGGCUGCCAUGCAGACAGACGAUGAGAAGAUGUGCAAGGGAACCACAACAUCCCCGCAUCACAAUAAGAAGCACGUGGACCAAGCCGAAGAAAUGCCCCCCGGGACACAAACCCUCCCAAUGCUGUAAUAGCUCUGCCUAGACAUGCAAGACCAUACCAGAACAAGAGAGCCUACAUACUGGGGAAAUGGAUAUGUGCAAAAAUGAACAAAGCCAGUAAUACACACCACCCUUGCACCAUGGUAUCAAGACUCAUUUGCACCUCCAUCAUUUAAUAUUUGCUAAAUGCAAGCCACAUUUCACAAGAAGCCAUCUUUAUGCCCAAAAUUCAUCUCCAACUAUAUGCCUGAUCUACCUCAAAUAAAUAGAGACAUUCAGGAAAUCCAUCCAGAACUUCACAGGAUCUGUUUUGCCUUCCUGUGACCUUUGUAUGAAAAAAAAAA